rnacentral:rRNA from 1 species
GAGUUUGAUCCUGGCUCAGAUUGAACGCUGGCGGCAUGGCUAAAGCAUGCAAGUCGAACGAGAACCGGCUUCGGCCGGGGACAGUGGCGUAAGGGCGAGUAAUGCAUUCCUAACGUACCCUUCGGUAGGGGAUAGGUCAGGGAAACUUGGCGUAAUACCCUAUACGAUCUCCGGAUGAAAGACUUCGGUCGCCGGAGGAGCGGGGAAUGUCCUAUCAGGUUGUUGGUGAGGUAACGGCUCACCAAGCCGAAGACGGGUAGCGGGUGUGAGAGCAUGACCCGCCGCAUCGGGACUGAGACACUGCCCGGACUCCUACGGGAGGCUGCAGCGACGAAUAUUCCGCAAUGCGCGAAAGCGUGACGGAGCAAUGCCGCGUGCAGGAUGAAGCGGCUUCGCCGUGUAAACUGCUGUCAGGGUUUAGGAAGCAAGUGACCAGACCCAAAGGAAGGGCCGGCUAACUUCGUGCCAGCAGCCGCGGUAAGACGAAGGGCCCGAGCGUUAAUCAGAGUUACUGGGCUUAAAGGGUGCGUAGGCGGAUUCGUAAGUGCCUUGUGAAAUCCCACGACUCAACCGUGGAAUGGCUGGGCAAACUGCGAGUCUUGAGACUGGUAGGGGCCGUCGGAACGAUAGGUGGAGCGGUGAAAUGCGUAGAUAUCUAUCGGAACGCCGAAAGUGAAGACAGGCGGCUGGGCCAGAUCUGACGCUGAGGCACGAAAGCGUGGGGAGCAAACAGGAUUAGAUACCCUGGUAGUCCACGCUGUAAACGAUGCACACUAGGUCGGGGAGGUUUUGACGCCCUCCUGGCCGGAGCAAAAAGUAUUAAGUGUGCCGCCUGGGGAGUACGGUCGCAAGGCUAAAACUCAAGGGAAUUGACGGGAGCUCACACAAGCGGUGGAGCAUGUGGCUUAAUUCGAAGCAACGCGAAGAACCUUACCUGGGUUUGACAUGCACGGAUUAGUUCGGUGAAAGUCGAAUGACGCCCUUUGGGUGGAACGUGCACAGGUGCUGCAUGGCUGUCGUCAGCUCGUGCUGUGAAGUGUCGGGUUAAGUCCCUUAACGAGCGAAACCCCUGUCGCUAGUUGCCAGCGAGUCAUGUCGGGGACUCUAGCGAGACUGCCGGUGUCAAACCGGAGGAAGGUGGGGAUGACGUCAAGUCCUCAUGGCCCUUAUGUCCAGGGAUGCACACGUGCUACAAUGGCGUGAACAGAGCGACGCGAGACCGCGAGGUGGAGCAAAUCGCAAAAAACACGCCCCAGUUCAGAUUGCAGUCUGCAAUUCGACUGCAUGAAGUUGGAAUCGCUAGUAAUCGCGGAUCAGCUAUGCCGCGGUGAAUACGUUCCUGAGCUUUGUACACACCGCCCGUCAAGUCAUGGAAGUCGGGAGCGCCCGAAGUUGCCGCAACUCAGCGGUGCCGAAUGCGAGCUCGAUGACUGGGACUAAGUCGUAACAAGGUAACCGUA